rnacentral:tRNA from 1 species
CUAAGGAUGAUCCUUCAGCGAGCUUCGGCUCACUAUCGGAUCGUUUUAAGAAACAUCAGUGGCCAACGGUCGUCAGGAUCGUUGAGCUGCAUUGGCGGGAUUUCGCCGUCUUCGUUUCUCUUUCUUCGCGGACGAACACGCGCUGGGCCUGCAUGGUUGCAGGAUCCCGGUCCUUAACUGGAUAUGCGUUAGGGGCUUGUAGCUCAGUUGGUUAGAGCGCGCGCUUGAUAAGCGUGAGGUCGGAAGUUCAAGUCUUCCCAGGCCCACCACACUCAUCGAGUGAGCAUUCGUCUUCUGGUUACGGGGCCAUAGCUCAGCUGGGAGAGCGCGUGCUUUGCAAGCAUGAGGUCGUCGGUUCGAUCCCGUCUGGCUCCACCAGAUGGUUUGAUCAUCGACUGAUCGUGCACCUAAAUCGUCCGCGAAACAUCACUUCGCACCCACUAGUCCGGAUGGAUAGUGACGUGCGUGAUUUCUGACAUCGUAAAGAGGAGAUCGAUCCGAGUUGGAUCGUGCAGCAAGCAAUUGCUACGCGGUACUCCAUUAUCUCCGGAUCAUUUCGGCGCUCGUGCGUCUUCCAAGGUAGCUCACAAGGCUGCAUUGAAAGACAAGCGAGUUGUAAAUGAUCCUUUUAGCGAAGCUUGACCGCCUCGCUAUCGGAACGAUCUUACGAAGCAAGCUGGUCUUUCUAAUCAUUGUCCGGCUGCAGAUAGCGUUCAUCGAGGGCGCGUACCGCAAGGUAAUUCUGCAGACAACAUUCUGCCGAGUGUGUGGACAUUGAUAAUGAGAGC